GACGAACGCUGGCGGCGUGCUUAACACAUGCAAGUGGAGCGACGAACCGGGGCUUGCCCCGGGGCAGAGCCGCGAACGGGUGAGUAACACGUGGGUAACCCACCCCGAUGACCGGGACAACCCGAGGAAACUCGAGCUAAUACCGGAUGUGCUCCUUGACCUUGAGGUCAAGGCGUAAAGAUAGCUUCGGCCUUCGCAUCGGGACGGGCCCGCGGCCCAUUAGCUUGUUGGUGGGGUAAAGGCCCACCAAGGCGACGAUGGGUAGCUGGUCUGAGAGGACGAUCAGCCACACUGGGACUGAGACACGGCCCAGACUCCUACGGGAGGCAGCAGUGGGGAAUCUUGCGCAAUGCGCGAAAGCGUGACGCAGC
rnacentral:rRNA from 1 species